GCUGGUCGGCUAGUGGUUAAAAGAAAGACCACCCUUCCACCACUUGAUUUUGGAUAAUUAUUAUUAUUAGUUUAUUUUCUUACUUACCUUUUCUGAAGUACUGAAUGUACUUUCAUCCUAGCUUGGCCGCGGCCCAGGGCAUCAUUUCCUCUCCUCCCCCGCUGCAUUCUGGGACAUGUGUGUGGGGCCAUUCAGAAAGCGCUACAGGACUCGCCUGAAGGCUCCACUACCGGUUUUCCUAAGUUGGGAUGGUGGCGCCUGCACCUGAUCUGAUGGACGGAUCGGCCUCGGGGGGCCAGCAUUGUGGGCUCCCUGGACAGGAUUGAAUACAGAUUAGGGGGAUAUGUCUCAUAACUGCAACAGUCGAACAUCAAGAAACUGAAUUAAAGGGGACAAAUAGAAUUUUCAACAUGAAAGCGCUUGCAAUCGCCAUCCCUGGAGAAGCUCUGCCAGUGCCACCACCGCUUUGUGCCACUGUAAGAGCUUACAAGAAGAUUAAUGAGAUGGAAAAUUGCGAUGCAGACAGGCAGAUGUUCCAGUAAGGUGACCCCUUGGCUGCAAAAGAAUAAAGCUUGUCAUCCUGGAGAUCCAAAGUGACACCGGAAGAUUACUGGAGAUCAGAGAGAUCACAGUGUGGACAGUGACCUGCCUAUGAAGUCUCUUAUUUGUCCAGCUGCAGAGACAGAAGUCAGCUGAGAGCCAGACUGUGGUAUGCAGAAGACACAAGAAAUUAUACUUAUGAGGGUUCCAUCACUUCCUAGUCACCAUAUUCUGGGGUUAGGAUGAACUCCAGACAAAUAUUAAAAACUCCUUUAGAUCGA